GAGUGAAACUCAAAGGAAUUGACGGGGACCCGCACAAGUAGCGGAGCAUGUGGUUUAAUUCGAAGCAACGCGAAGAACCUUACCUAAGCUUGACAUCCCAAUGACAUCUCCUUAAUCGGAGAGUUCCCUUCGGGGACAUUGGUGACAGGUGGUGCAUGGUUGUCGUCAGCUCGUGUCGUGAGAUGUUGGGUUAAGUCCCGCAACGAGCGCAACCCUUGUCUUUAGUUGCCAUCAUUAAGUUGGGCACUCUAGAGAGACUGCCAGGGAUAACCUGGAGGAAGGUGGGGAUGACGUCAAAUCAUCAUGCCCCUUAUGCUUAGGGCUACACACGUGCUACAAUGGGUAGUACAGAGGGUUGCCAAGCCGUAAGGUGGAGCUAAUCCCUUAAAGCUACUCUCAGUUCGGAUUGUAGGCUGAAACUCGCCUACAUGAAGCUGGAGUUACUAGUAAUCGCAGAUCAGAAUGCUGCGGUGAAUGCGUUCCCGGGUCUUGUACACACCGCCCGUCACACCACGGGAGUUGGAGACGCCCGAAGCCGAUUAUCUAACCUUUUGGAAGAAGUCGUCGAAGGUGGAAUC
rnacentral:rRNA from 1 species